UACGAAGGGGACUAGCGUUGUUCGGAUUUACUGGGCGUAAAGCGCGCGUAGGCGGAUCGCUAAGUCAGGGGUGAAAUCCCAGGGCUCAACCCUGGAACUGCCUUUGAUACUGACGGUCUGGAGAUCGGGAGAGGUUGGUGGAAUUCCGAGUGUAGAGGUGAAAUUCGUAGAUAUUGGGAAGAACACCGGUGGCGAAGGCGGCGACCUGGUCCAUUACUGACGCUGAGGCGCGACAGCGUGGGGAGCAAACAGG
rnacentral:rRNA from 1 species